rnacentral:rRNA from 1 species
UACAGAGGUCCCAAGCGUUGUUCGGAUUCAUUGGGCGUAAAGGGUGCGUAGGGGGCGCGGUAAGUCGGGGGUGAAAUCUCGGGGCUUAACUCCGAAACUGCAUUCGAUACUGCCGUGCUUGAGGACUGGAGAGGAGACUGGAAUUUACGGUGUAGCGGUGAAAUGCGUAGAUAUCGUAAGGAAGACCAGUGGCGAAGGCGGGUCUCUGGACAGUUCCUGACGCUGAGGCACGAAGGCCAGGGGAGCAAACGGG